UCUUAUGGAUGAACAAAGGAAGUGUUUUUCCUGAGAUGGAAUCUAGUCCUGGUGAUGAUGCUGUGAA
rnacentral:pre_miRNA from 1 species